GUCUGUGGCCAUGCCACCCUGAACAAGCCCGAUCCCGUCUGAUCUUGGAAGCUAAGCAGGGUCGGGCCUGGUUAGUAUUUGGAUGGGAGACCACCUAGGAAGACCAGGUGCUGUAGGCA
rnacentral:rRNA from 1 species